rnacentral:misc_RNA from 1 species
AAGUCGUAACAAGGUUUCCGUAGGUGAACCUGCGGAAGGAUCAUUACUGAGUUUUGAACGCGGGUUGUAGCUGGCCUUUCACGAGGCAUGUGCACGCCUGGUUUCAUCCACUCUUCAACCUUUGUGCACCAUUUGUAGGAGGAGAAAAAGAGGGGGAUGUGUUGUGUUAUACACAGACUGCUAGCCGGUUUUUGUGAACAAAAACACACAUACAUGCCUCUCUGCCUCUCUCCCUCCUAUGUUUUUAUUAAAAACGCUUUAGUAUCAGAAUGUUUAUCUUUGCGUAACGCAUUAUAAUACAACUUUCAGCAACGGAUCUCUUGGCUCUC